rnacentral:rRNA from 1 species
GAUGAACGCUGGCGGCGUGCUUAACACAUGCAAGUCGAACGAUGAAGCCCAGCUUGCUGGGUGGAUUAGUGGCGAACGGGUGAGUAACACGUGAGUAACCUGCCCUUAACUCUGGGAUAAGCCUGGGAAACUGGGUCUAAUACCGGAUAGGAGCGUCCACCGCAUGGUGGGUGUUGGAAAGAUUUAUCGGUUUUGGAUGGACUCGCGGCCUAUCAGCUUGUUGGUGAGGUAAUGGCUCACCAAGGCGACGACGGGUAGCCGGCCUGAGAGGGUGACCGGCCACACUGGGACUGAGACACGGCCCAGACUCCUACGGGAGGCAGCAGUGGGGAAUAUUGCACAAUGGGCGCAAGCCUAAUGCAGCGACGCCGCGUGGGGGAUGAAGGCCUUCGGGUUGUAAACCUCUUUCAGUAGGGAAGAAGCGAAAGUGACGGUACCUGCAGAAGAAGCACCGGCUAACUACGUG